ACGUAGGGAGCAAGCGUUGUUCGGAUUUACUGGGCGUAAAGGGCGCGUAGGCGGCGCGGUAAGUCACUUGUGAAAUCUCUGAGCUUAACUAAGAACGGCCAAGUGAUACUGCAGUGCUAGAGUGCAGAAAGGGCAAUCGGAAUUCUUGGUGUAGCGGUGAAAUGCGUAGAGAUCCGGAAGAACACCGGUGGCGAAGGCGGCUCUCUGGAUCUCUUCUGACGCUGAGGCACGAAAGCUAGGGGAGCAAACGGGA
rnacentral:rRNA from 1 species